GCCAGUGUGGCUUAGUGGUUAGAGUGUUGGUCUAGGACCCGGGAGAGCAGGGUUCGAAUCUCCACUUGGCC